UUUUCUUUUACUUUUUUUAACUCAUCCAAAAAAAAUCUUUUUAAUUUUUGUGACACAUAUUUCUUGUUUUUGACAUUACAUUUGCAAUUUUAUUUUUGUAUUUAUUUUUUUCAUUUAUUUUAUUUCGAUUACGACCAUUGUAAAUACGCCAUGUUAUUGAUUAAUAAGUGUGAUGCUUAUGGAUUUUUUCUCCAUUUCAUUUGAAU
rnacentral:lncRNA from 1 species